AGCUCUGUUGCUCAGUUGGUUAGAGUGCAGCACUGGAAUCGCAGGGCCACAGGUUCGAUUCCUGUUCCUGCAUGGUUA